CUGCUUCAUAAAGCGGUUUUAAAUCAUUUGAUUGCAUGAUCACAUCUUUACGGUUUCUUAUUUUGAGUAAGAUCGUUAUCUAUCGAAUAACAAAUGAAAUUGUAGACUACAGUCGCAUCAGAGCACAGUUCAAUGUAUUCCUCAGUUUUGCAAAAUCGCGCUAGAAUCGAACGUUUGUUAUUAAAUCGUUUUCUUUAUUUGAUUAAAAUGUGGCGUUAUAUCUAUUUCACUUAAAUCAUUCAACAUCCUAACGUCUCCGGGUCAUUCUAACUCUGACUAGUUGUUUGUAGGUUGAUUAACAUGAAAACCAUUCAAUUGUGUCUAAUUUUAUCUAUUGAGUUUUAUUUUAAAAUAUGUCAUUUUGAUUUUAUUUUGAUUGAGUAUCAGAUGACUGAGCAUCUAAAAGAGAAUCUAAGCAACAAUAGAUUCGAACAUUAUUGGGACAGGGUACAAGUCGAGAGAGAAUGCUGUGGUGUACAAGGACCAACAGAUUACAAAAAUACAACAAUAUAUAACUCAAGCGGGAUGUAUGUACCCGAGACAUGCUGUGUUUUAACGAACGAUAAAGAUAUUGAUCAUCCACAAGCAAAGAACGAGACGCUUUGUCAGGACCAAGCAAAGCAACUGCAAAAUGAUUCCACUCUGAUCACCACAUUUGUAAAAUCGGAAGUAGGUCACUUUAAUUGGUGUUUUUUCCCUUUCUGUUACACACUAUACGUAUUUAUAUAAAUACUAUGCAAAUAAUAAA